UGGAGACUGCGCUUGGCAAAAAUGCCUUGUGUGGGAUCUCUCUGGGCCAAAAUGUUCUCUGCUCGGGACCUGGCCUUUAGGCUUUGGUAAACAUCCUUCUCCCAUCGGCCCCCAGGAGUGCACUGCCAAAGGCCCUCAACAGCUUUGCUCACUUAUCAGGAACAUUCUGAAGCUGAUGGCAACUUGCAAACAUGCUUUGAGAGGGACAUCACUUUCCGAAGAGUGGCCGCUUUAUGGAAAUGGCUGGAGGUUUGGAACUCUCAGGGGACAUGAGUAUAGUGUGGUAGUCUGGCUGAAGAAGCUUUAGGACAGGCAACGCGGAGGUGCCAAGCACGUUGUAGUUUCUAGAUCUGCAGAUCUUAUAAAGCUGCACCCGAGGAGGAAGACACUAUCAUUGUCUGCAACUCACCCACGAGGAAACCAAGGCUUACGAAGGGUGAGAAACGGCUCAGGGUCACACAGUGGGGGCCCGAGAUUCUGCCUUCAAAACAAGAUCCCAGAUGACAUCAGUGCCGCUGAUCAGCCGAUCACAUUUUGAACAGCAAAGCUCCAAACCAUACCUCCACAGAAACCAUCCAAGUUCACCUGCCUGAAGUCUGUUGUGGAGUCAUCUGCUCUCAGUGCAAGAAGUACUUGGCAGCACGGCCUAUGAGAAGUCUUGGCAAGAUCUACGGCUCCCUCAUGGUCGGAAAUGCCACACUGAGGAGGGUUACGGCUCUCUGUGGACCAAGAUAAAAUGCGCUCCUUCUUCACAACCCUUGAUAUUACCCAGGUGUCUACGAUUUCAGGAUUUAAUACGAUGAUUUUUUUUUCAUGUAAAGAAGAAGAUUCUCCUUUCAGUGGUGUCCUCCUUCCAAACGGGGGGAGGGCAGACAGUGAUGUCUGUUUAAAACUGAUGGGGGGGGGGCUGGGUGGCUGAGUGGGUUGGGCCUCUGCCUUCGGCUCAGGUCAUCAUCUCGGGGUCCUGGGAUUGAGCCCCACAUUGGGCUCUCUGCUCAGCAGAGAGCCUGCUGCCCCCCUCCUCCGCCAACCACCUGCCUCGCUGCCUACUUGUGA